CAGAGGUGGCAAGCGUUAUUCGGAUUCACUGGGCGUAAAGGGUGCGCAGGCGGCCAUGUGUGUCAGGUGUGAAAGCCCGAGGCUCAACCUCGGAAUUGCGCCUGAAACUACAUGGCUAGAGUACUGGAGAGGGUAGCGGAAUUCAUGGUGUAGCAGUGAAAGUGCGUAGAUAUCAUGAGGAACACCAGAGGCGAAGGCGGCUACCUGGACAGUUGACUGACGCUCGAGGCAACGAAAGCCGUGGGGAGCAAAAGGG
rnacentral:rRNA from 1 species